rnacentral:lncRNA from 1 species
GGAUAGGACCUAUCUAUACCUAUUAGUUGAUGAUGGGAUGCAUUUAUUAUGUAAGCUAUUUUAUUAAAAUAAUUAUUAAUACUAAAUAUUUUGAUUUUGAUAUUGUCAUAAAAUUUUUUAAGAAAAUAGUCAAUACUCGGGUUCGUCUACUAUUAUAUUAUGAUGGCAUAAUAGAAAAUGAUGAAGAUGGCAUGCAGUAUAGUCAGCCUACGACCC